UACGUAGGCAGCAAGCGUUGUUCGGAAUUACUGGGCGUAAAGAGUGUGUAGGCGGUGUUCUAAGUCUGGUGUGAAAUCUCCCGGCUCAACUGGGAGGGUGCGCUAGAAACUGGAAUGCUAGAGGAUGGGAGAGGUAAGCGGAAUUCCUGGUGUAGCGGUGAAAUGCGUAGAUAUCAGGAGGAACACCAAUGGCGAAGGCAGCUCGCUGGGACGGUACUGACGCUGAGACGCGAAAGCGUGGGGAGCAAACAGG
rnacentral:rRNA from 1 species